AAGCAAAAUACUUGAAGGCUAUUGGUAUCUUCCAAAUUUCUUUCAAAUUUCUUGGAUUCUUCUCCAAAACAUUUUCACAAAAUUUCAUCAUUCCUAUAUUUCCCAUAAUACAUUACGGUAGUAUUGCAAGAUGGCGGCUCUUCUGAGGAACUCAUCCAGGCUUCCUUCAGUGUUAGUCAAAGGGUGCUAUCGACCUUCAUUUGCGCUAAUGCGAAGUAUUCCAAUCACUACUUCGUCCUUGGCUCGAAAGCAGGAAGACUUUUGGUCCAAAAACACUCGUCUGAACAGACCAAUGUCACCUCACUUAACAAUCUACAGUCCACAGUUGACUUCAAUGUUGU